GAUGAACGCUAGCGGCAGGCCUAACACAUGCAAGUCGAGGGGUAGUUACUUUCGGGUAAUGAGACCGGCGCACGGGUGCGUAACGCGUAUGCAAUCUACCUUUUACAGGGGAAUAGCCCAGAGAAAUUUGGAUUAAUGCCCCAUAGUAUGUAUGAAUCGCAUGGUUUAUACAUUAAAGUUCCAACGGUAAAAGAUGAGCAUGCGUCCCAUGAGUUAGUUGGUAAGGUAACGGCUUACCAAGACGAUGAUGGGUAGGGGUCCUGAGAGGGAGAACCCCCACACUGGUACUGAGACACGGACCAGACUCCUACGGGAGGCAGCAGUGAGGAAUAUUGGACAAUGGGCGCAAGCCUGAUCCAGCCAUGCCGCGUGCAGGAAGAAGCAUCUAUGGUGUGUAAACUGCUUUUGUACGGGAAGAAACACUCCCUCGUGAGGGAGCUUGACGGUACCGUAAGAAUAAGGAUCGGCUAACUCCGUGCCAGCCGCCGCCGUAA
rnacentral:rRNA from 1 species